rnacentral:lncRNA from 1 species
ACAGAUCCUUGAGAAGAGCGUCAAGACACAAAGGGAUGUGUUCUUCACUCUGAGAGUUGAUUCCAAGGGACAGAUCCUGUAGCAAAUAGGCUGAGGUAUCCCUGCACAGAUGUCAGCGAUCCGAGUGCUGCGCUUGGUGCUAUUUAAAGCAAAGGAACUGCCCCCCUGCAGUUUGUAAUGAGGUUCAAGUCUCUCACAAUCACAUGAUUCGAGCUGCAGAGGAUUUACA